UACAGAUUAACUUUAGCCUUGUGGUAAUGAAACAAGACUAUGAGAUAAAUUCAUAUAUGAAGAGUAAGUCAUUUUUACUUGAUCUACAUAAUCAAGGGAGAAUUUUAACAACUUGUAGAAGUAUAAGCUAAAACACAAAUAAAAUCAUUUUGUUAGUGGUUUGCUAGGAAUACUGAACAGAAUCAUCCCAUUCUCUCUGAGAAAUUAAGACACCAACCAGCAAGAAACUGGGAAUGUAGCUCAGUGACAGAAUACCUAUCAAGGAGACACAAGGCCCUAAGUCCAACACACACACACACA